rnacentral:rRNA from 1 species
CCUACGGGCGGCUGCAGUGGGGAAUAUUGGACAAUGGGCGAAAGCCUGAUCCAGCCAUGCCGCGUGUGUGAAGAAGGCCUUCGGGUUGUAAAGCACUUUCAGUGGGGAAGAAAGCCUUGGGGCUAAUACCCUCGAGGAAGGACAUCACCCACAGAAGAAGCACCGGCUAACUCCGUGCCAGCAGCCGCGGUAAUACGGAGGGUGCGAGCGUUAAUCGGAAUUACUGGGCGUAAAGCGCGCGUAGGCGGUCUGAUAAGCCGGUUGUGAAAGCCCCGGGCUCAACCUGGGAACGGCAUCCGGAACUGUCAGGCUAGAGUGCAGGAGAGGAAGGUAGAAUUCCCGGUGUAGCGGUGAAAUGCGUAGAGAUCGGGAGGAAUACCAGUGGCGAAGGCGGCCUUCUGGACUGACACUGACGCUGAGGUACGAAAGCGUGGGUAGCAAACAGGAUUAGAUACCCGCAGUAGUC